rnacentral:ribozyme from 14 species
GUUGUGUGUUUUGCCACUCAAAGGCAAACUGCAACUAUACCUUGCUAAAAACGAUCUUGGUAGUUAGUCAAGCUUACCUCAUCGCUUAUCAUCAUCAUUCAUCACUAUUAUAUUGUACACUUCAUGUUAAAACGUAGAAGA